rnacentral:ncRNA from 1 species
CUCCCGGCCGGAUCCCGUGGGGGGAAUCCGUACCGGGGUAAGGAAAGCGCCCCGCUCCGACCCGUGGGG